AAAAGGUGGCUAUGCUACCGCUUUUGGAUGGGCCCGCGGCGCAUUAGCUAGUUGGUGGGGUAAAGGCUUACCAAGGCAAUGAUGCGUAGCCGAACUGAGAGGUUGAUCGGCCACAUUGGGACUGAGACACGGCCCAAACUCCUACGGGAGGCAGCAGUAGGGAAUCUUCCACAAUGGGCGAAAGCCUGAUGGAGCAACGCCGCGUGGGUGAAGAAGGUCUUCGGAUCGUAAAACCCUGUUGUUAGAGAAGAAAGUGCGUGAGAGUAACUGUUCACGUUUCGACGGUAUCUAACCAGAAAGCCACGGCUAACUACGUGCCAGCAGCCGCGGUAAUACGUAGGUGGCAAGCGUUAUCCGGAUUUAUUGGGCGUAAAGGGAACGCAGGCGGUCUUUUAAGUCUGAUGUGAAAGCCUUCGGCUUAACCGGAGUAGUGCAUUGGAAACUGGGAGACUUGAGUGCAGAAGAGGAGAGUGGAACUCCAUGUGUAGCGGUGAAAUGCGUAGAUAUAUGGAAGAACACCAGUGGCGAAAGCGGCUCUCUGGUCUGUAACUGACGCUGAGGUUCGAAAGCGUGGGUAGCAAACAGGAUUAGAUACCCUGGUAGUCCACGCCGUAAACGAUGAAUGCUAAGUGUUGGAGGGUUUCCGCC
rnacentral:rRNA from 1 species